rnacentral:lncRNA from 1 species
UGGCGUCACAGUGUUUGGGCGGUGCCGCAGUUCGCUCCUGAACAGCAACAUAAACAGAGCGUGACUCAGGAAUCUGAAGAGAGGAGUCAGAUGAAGGACACGGAGUGUAAUCAAAGUCUAAAGGAGACAUGAUGGCUUUGGAUAGCUCAUGACACAAAGACUCAAAAUAUGCAAUAUAGCAUCAUCAAAGGAGCAAAGGAUAGACUUCCGAUUUGAGACGGUGGAAUGAAAAGUCUGUUCCAGUUACUCAGCCCAGCCGACAACCUGCCCAGUAGAAGACCAUGGUUGGAUGCAUGUAGAAUUCUACAAGGUUGUU